GGCUCCCCGUCCACAUAUUUAAUUUUAUGAGGAGUCUAACCUGCCCAGUGAGGUUUUUAACGGCCGCGGUACUCUGACCGUGCAAAGGUAGCAUAAUCAUUUGCCUUAUAAUUGAAGGCUGGUAUGAAUGGUUUGACGAAAGCAGAUCUGUCUCCUUUUUAUUUUAUAGAAUUUGACUUCCGGGUGAAGAGGCCUGGAUGCGAUUGAAGGACAAGAAGACCCUGUCGAGCUUAAAAGAACACGUAGAAGUUUAUAUAGAUUUUAAAUAAAUAAUCUAUCUAGCUUUUUAGUUGGGGCGACUAAGGAACAAAAAAAGCUUCUUAAAUAUAAAAAACUUACAAGUUUAGAUCCAAUUAGUUUGAUUAAAGAAAUUAGUUACCGCAGGGAUAACAGCAUAAUCUCUCUUGAGAGACCUAAUCGAAAGGGGGGGUUGUGACCUCGAUGUUGGACUAGAAUAUCCUAAAGAUGCAGAAGUCUUUGAGGGUUGGUCUGUUCGACCAUUAAAAUUCUACGUGAUCUGA
rnacentral:rRNA from 1 species